UACGUAGGGUGCAAGCGUUAAUCGGAAUUACUGGGCGUAAAGCGUGCGCAGGCGGUUCUAUAAGACAGAUGUGAAAUCCCCGGGCUCAACCUGGGAAUGGCAUUGGUGACUGCACGGCUAGAGUGUGUCAGAGGGGGGUAGAAUUCCACGUGUAGCAGUGAAAUGCGUAGAGAUGUGGAGGAAUACCGAUGGCGAAGGCAGCCCCCUGGGAUAACACUGACGCUCAU
rnacentral:rRNA from 1 species